GCCCCGCCAACCCCAAGAAGGACCUGCUGCCUCGUGGGCCCAGGGCCAGAAUCUUCCUGGGGUGACUGUCAAUCAGCCACCCUACUUUUGUGAAAUACAUUCUGCGUUUCAGACCCAGAAAAGGGGUGAACCCUCUCCAGUAAGGCCAUGCAGACAUGCCCAUGAGAGGAAGCAAGGAACCAGGGGACCAAGAAGAUAUCCUCCAGGUGUUUGGACCUGCAGAUGGAAUUUGGAGACUCAGAGCUGAGCAGUUGUCCAACCACUGCUGGACUUAUGCUUCCUCCACAGUGUGAGGCACAGAGCUGAGUGCUCAGAAGACCCUUGCAUUUUUCACUGAAUUGAACACCUUCAGAACUCAGGCAACGUAGGACGUGUGAAGCUACCAGGAAGGAGGCCAGAGUAUCUGGAACCCCCUGCAAAGAUGACCCCAUAAAGCAACCAGCGUGGUGGGGCUCCCAGAGUGCUCGAGGGGAUGUGCCCUGCCUCAGAGGGAGCAGGCCACCCAGUGCCUGGGGCUGGCAUGGUUCAGGGGAACCAAAACAGCCCAGGUGGUUGGAAGAGGAGUGUGUGUGGAUGCAAUGAUUCAAAUGCUGACAGAUGGAUGGAGGUCUCCUCUCCUGCUGGCCUGGCAGCCUCUGUAUGGAAAGCUGUGCCCAGGAGAUGGGUCCCGGCUGCUCUGGUGAGAUGGUGGAAAUAUAAGCCCAGCAGAUCUAGCGGCCGUGAGUCACAGUAAACCGCCAGUCGUCAGGUGCCCAGGAAGGAAGCCGAAGCCAGGAGACUAGCUGAGCUGAGCGAGAAGCAGGACCAUCCUGUUGUGUAAAACACAAAGAGCAGAGUGUUCAGGCCUGAGGAUCAGAUUUCCCAUAAUGGAAGCCCGAUCUGUACACUGAGCUACAGGCUGUGCUCCAAGAUGGGGGGACAAAACCCUGCCUGUCCCCAUCCAGGAGGAUGCCACCCAAGCAUGCCCAUUCCUCCCCAGGGCAUGGCCCAGGGCCCAGGGCCAGCAGGGGCCUGCCUUUUCCCCAGGGAAAACCGGGUGAGCAGCACCUCAGCCGCAGCCUCUCUGGCCUGGAGAUCCGGGCUCCGCUUUCUGUGGGUGCUCUGUGCUGGUGAACCUUCUGUCUGAGCAGUUACAGGCCUUCAGCUCUAACAUGUUGCCAGUUUAACUGGACUGGCCUGUGCCUGAGGCCCUUGUUCAAGAUCUCAGCACUAAAAAUAGAAAUGAAAGGAAGAGGCAGGCAGUCCCUCACUUCUCCAGGGCUCCAAAUGCCCUACCUGCUGGAUUACACAGAGUGAUUGGGGUUUGUUUUUUUGGGGGGCAGGGUGUUGUUUUGUUUUGUUUUUUUGGCCUGGGCAACUUUUUUGCUCACAGGUCACAGUCAAGCUUAUUAAACUUGGAUGACAGUAAACCAAUGACUAACUGGAUAAUUAAAGCCACAAGUCAGGAGGCCUGGGCGGGCCCCCUCAUCUGGAACCUCCAGCCGCUUGUUCCACAAGCGAAUGCCCCUUGCUCUCCCCACAGCAGAAAUGCUCUCGUGAACUGAAAGCCAUCUGUGGUGACCUCCACCUCCUCUCAGGUCACUUCCCCACUCAUCCAUGGCUUCUUCCCUCCCCCGACCCGCCUCCUGGUCCUGUCCACUGCAAGAAAGGAGGAGCGCUAACCACAGUCCCCCCCCACCGCUGCCGCUGCUGUGACGGGGGAACACGACAAAGGUUUCCAACUAAAACCAAAGUUACUCAGAGGUGCUUCCUGCCAGGCUGACAUGCUAGAGGGCAUGGCGUGCCUCCUCGGCUCUUUCUAUUCUGCCCGGCUUCUCUUCUCGGCUUCGGGCAUUGGAGAGCCUCCCUGCUUCCUUCAAAGAGUGGACGGACGAGAACUUCAAAGCAGCAAGGCCGCAGAAGAGCUGGCUUGCUCUGCUCCGUCUGGAGCUCUCAGUGACUGUCUCACCCCCAUUUCUGAAACUAAAUGAAGAGCUGAUGAGGUUUUCAAGGUCCCCAAAGACAUUUUUUUUUUUUGUCCCUCCCUCUAGCCAAGGACCCCUGGGCCUGCACAGGAAGGCCUGUAACCUCCCCUUGUUAGGGGUGCUCCUUGCGGUUUACACCCCUUCGAUGCCUCUGCCCUCUUUCUGCCUGGCCCUCUGGCUGUCCCUGCUUCCUCCCUCUUCUCUACCUGCCCUCUGUCCCUCCUGUAUCCUUGUCUUAAGAAGCAGCACCUUUUCUACUGAGGAGACAUGGGUGGAGGAGGAGUUGCAGUUGGGGCUGGAAGGGCUAUGUGGUGUUUGUACACUACUCCAGGAUAAGUUUGUGAUUAUUUUAAUUAAGAAAAUAAUUAUCGGAGUUCUCCUGCAGCUCAGCAAGUUAAGGAUUCGGCAUUGUCACUGCUGUGGUGUGGGUUGAGUCCCUGGCCUAGAAACUUCUACAUGCCACAAGUGUGGCCAAAAAAGAAAAAAAAAUUAAUGUUCCCUCCAAAUCCUUGAGGAUCUUUGAUUCCAGGAAGUUGCAGACUGUGCUAAGCCUGUGGCUCUGUACUGUUACCCUCCUUGGAAGGCUGCUGCUUUACCCGGAGAUAUAAGGACCCUGAUAUGAGAAGCAAGAGUCAUUUGGAUUUUCAGCAAGAAUCUCUUUCCACUGAAACUCCAAAACUGUAGAGGGCAGAGACUCUUUCACAUUGAACCUCAUGGUCUUGCGCUAAUGCCUGGAAAAUAACUGUUCUCAGACGUCAUGAGUCUUGUUUUAUUACUAUCAUUCCU
ensembl:lncRNA